rnacentral:rRNA from 1 species
UGGCGGACGGGUGAGUAACGCGUGAGAAUCUGCCUUUAGGACGGGAACAACAACUGGAAACGGUUGCUAAGGCCCGAUGUGCCCUGUGGGGUGAAAUAUUUAUAGCCUGAAGAUGAGCUCGCGUCCGAUUAGCUAGUAGGUGGAGUAAUGGUUUACCUAGGCGACGAUCGGUAACUGGUCUGAGAGGAUGACCAGUCACACUGGGACUGAGACACGGCCCAGACUCCUACGGGAGGCAGCAGUGGGGAAUUUUCCGCAAUGGGCGAAAGCCUGACGGAGCAAUACCGCGUGAGGGAGGAAGGCUCUUGGGUCGUAAACCUCUUUUAUCAGGGAAGAACGCAAUGACGGUACCUGAUGAAUCAGCAUCGGCUAACUCCGUGCCAGCAGCCGCGGUAAUACGGAGGAUGCAAGCGUUAUCCGGAAUUAUUGGGCGUAAAGCGUCCGCAGGUGGUUUUGAAAGUUUGCUGUCAAAGCGCGGAGCUUAACUUCGUAUCGGCAGUGAAAACUACGAGACUAGAGUUUGGUAGGGGUCACGGGAAUUCCCAGUGUAGCGGUGAAAUGCGUAGAGAUUGGGAAGAACACCAGCGGCGAAAGCGCGUGACUGGGCCUGAACUGACACUCAUGGACGAAAGCUAGGGGAGCGAAAGGGAUUAGAUACCCCUGUAGUCCUAGCCGUAAACGAUGACAACUAGGUGUUGCCCGUAUCGACCCGGGCAGUGCCGUAGCCAACGCGUUAAGUUGUCCGCCUGGGGAGUACGCACGCAAGUGUGAAACUCAAAGGAAUUGACGGGGGCCCGCACAAGCGGUGGAGUAUGUGGUUUAAUUCGAUCCAACGCGAAGAACCUUACCAAGGCUUGACAUGUGCAGAAUCUUCUUGAAAGGGAAGAGUGCCUUCGGGAGCGCAAACACAGGUGGUGCAUGGCUGUCGUCAGCUCGUGUCGUGAGAUGUUGGGUUAAGUCCCGCAACGAGCGCAACCCUCGUUUCUAGUUGCCAUCAUUAAGUUGGGCACUUUAGAGAGACUGCCGGUGACAAACCGGAGGAAGGUGGGGAUGACGUCAAGUCAGCAUGCCCCUUACGCCUUGGGCUACACACGUACUACAAUGCUACGGACAAAGAGCCGCAAGUUCGCGAGGACAAGCAAAUCUCAUAAACCGUGGCUCAGUUCAGAUUGCAGGCUGCAACUCGCCUGCAUGAAGGCGGAAUCGCUAGUAAUCGCAGGUCAGCAUACUGCGGUGAAUACGUUCCCGGGCCUUGUACACACCGCCCGUCACACCAUGGAAGUUGGCCACGCCCGAAGUCGUUACUCCAACCGUUCGCGGAGGAGGAUGCCGAAGGCAGGGCUGAUGACUGGGGUGAAGUCGUAACAAGGUAGCCGUACCGGAAGGUGUGGCUGGAUCACCUCCUUUAAGGGAGACCUACCCAUCUAAUUGUUGAGCGUCAGGAUGCAGUGAUUGCAUUCAGUCGAAUCAAGAUUAGAUAGGUCAACCCAAGGUCGUUGAGGAAUAAGUGUUGACUUCCAGACUAUGGAACUUGGUUGGGUAAAUGGGCUAUUAGCUCAGGUGGUUAGAGCGCACCCCUGAUAAGGGUGAGGUCCCUGGUUCGAGUCCAGGAUGGCCCACCAUUAAACCUUAUCAAAGGGGGUUUAGCUCAGUUGGUAGAGCGCCUGCUUUGCAAGCAGGAUGUCAACGGUUCGAGUCCGUUAACCUCCAUCAAAAGUUCAGCAACUUGUUUAGAGGCGUUGAGUUCUCUAGAGAGCCUGCUGGAUUUUAUCCAGACAGAACCAUGAAAACUGCAUAGAAACUUGUCAGGUAGAAAGUAGCUGACGACGAAUUGCGAAUUGUUCAGGUAAGACUGAAGGAUUAGGCAAGGAGUAGUCAGAGACAGAAAUCACAGACACCAAUGUU